UUCAAAAACUUGUUGAUCUCUAUCCUUCUUACUUACCCAAUUUCCAGAUUGAUUAUCGUUUUUUUUAUUUCCC
rnacentral:tRNA from 1 species